rnacentral:rRNA from 1 species
AUGAACGCUGGCGGCGUGCUUAACACAUGCCAGUCGCACGGAAAGGCUCCUGCUUGCAGGGGUACUCGAGUGGCGAACGGGUGAGUAACACGUGGGUGAUCUGCCCUGCACUUCGGGAUAAGCCUGGGAAACUGGGUCUAAUACCGGAUAGGACGAUGGUUUGGAUGCCAUUGUGGAAAGUUUUUUCGGUGUGGGAUGAGCUCGCGGCCUAUCAGCUUGUUGGUGGGGUAAUGGCCUACCAAGGCGUCGACGGGUAGCCGGCCUGAGAGGGUGUACGGCCACAUUGGGACUGAGAUACGGCCCAGACUCCUACGGGAGGCAGCAGUGGGGAAUAUUGCACAAUGGGCGCAAGCCUGAUGCAGCGACGCCGCGUGGGGGAUGACGGCCUUCGGGUUGUAAACUCCUUUCGCUAGGGACGAAGCGCAAGUGACGGUACCUGGAGAAGAAGCACCGGCUAACUACGUG